UACGUAGGGUGCGAGCGUUGUCCGGAAUUAUUGGGCGUAAAGAGCUUGUAGGCGGUUUGUCGCGUCUGCUGUGAAAAUCCGGGGCUCAACCCCGGACUUGCAGUGGGUACGGGGCAGACUAGAGUGUGGUAGGGGAGAUCGGAAUUCCUGGUGUAGCGGUGGAAUGCGCAGAUAUCAGGAGGAACACCGGUGGCGAAGGCGGAUCUCUGGGCCAUAACUGACGCUGAGGAGCGAAAAGCAUGGGGGAGCGAACAGG
rnacentral:rRNA from 1 species